ensembl:lncRNA
GCCAAUAAGACGAGAAGAUAAAAGUCCAAGCUGGCUUCAGUAGUUUCGUACGGUCAGGGAGAGAGGCUGCAAUGAAGAGCGUUACACUAACGGGUUCACGGAAGAAAUGGAACUGAUGGUCACACAGAUUUAUGGAGGCAGACAUCCAAACCUAGAUUGGACCUCCAGGAGAGAUGAGUGUGGCCACUGGGAUGUGCACAUUUAUGGACUUAAAGGUGCCCCAACCAACCUUCUUAUCAAGCCUCUCUUCCACCGCUACCACCUCUUAGCGAGCCUCUGGUGGGACGGGUUCAUCCUCUGGCUCUGUCUGUGCUGAGACUUAAUUAUGAUAUGCCACAGCAACGUCAGCCCCAAGUAUUGGCUGAGAUGGAGUCAACUUUAGCAGCAGUGAUGCAGCAUCAUAAUGCACAGUACGUAAGUCUUGUUUGUAUGUGUAUGUACUUGUAACAGUAUAUUGUUCAUAUGUUGCGUUUGUUCCUAGAAAGUCUGUCAUUUACCAGUUUGAAACGGCACUGGGUUCAUUCCAUUAACUGGCUUUGGACAACGUGAUGUCAUAUGCUUUUAUUGCCAGAUCUAACCUAAGCCAUGCACAUGUUGGAUUAUUUGUUGCACAUGCAGCCCAUGUCCAGUCAGUCUGUGAAGAUGUCCUGGUCAGUUCUUUACAGGUCUGUGUGGUAGUUGGUUGUUUAGGCUAUAGACUAGUUCACAUUUGUGUCACGGUGGACAUGAAUGAGUGAGGUGCCAAAAGACUCAACGCUGAUAAUAUUUCAUCUUCUAUAUUUGCAUAAAUCAAAUUUAAACCUUGUUUUCUCACCCAAUGGUUGGUGUCAGCACAACAGAGCUAAGAUUUGACAUUUACUUGGUUUAUUCUAGUUCAUUAACUCUGAAAACAUUUAAAAAUCACACUCCUGCUGUGGACCCGUUUUUUUGUGGGCAGUACCAAGAUCAUAAGGCGCAUAAACCAACCUCGUGUCAAGCCAACACCUCCGUCUCCUGCAGAGGAGCUCCGCAAUGGGGAAAUCCACAGGUCAGCAAGAAAUUAAAAAGUUGGUGGAGGAAGAGGAAGAGGAGGAUGAUGGUGACCAUGAGGAGGACAAGACCAGAGAUUUUGAAGAAAAGGACAGUGACUCAUCCUCAGAAGAUAUGUAUAAGUGAAAACAGAAGCAAGUUAAUCACAAUAGGGAAGUAACAAAAAAUACAUAAUAAUAACAAUUAAAAAAUACAAUACAAGGCUCCUUUAUACACUCUCUCUUAGUUUUUCUGAGAGGAGGUUCUGUAUCAUUCAUCACAUGCUAAACUAUUCUUUAAAGAUGAGGUGACAAAGAAAUUUUGUGCUAUCAACUGUCUGUGUUUAGCUCUUUCACUUAGAAUCCAGUGAAAUCUCGCCUUCCUAAGUCUUCCAUUUCUUCUUUGUGGAGUUCCCUAAAGUUGGUGCAGCCUUCAUGGAGCUCCUACCUGCCCCCCACAGAGUCACACCUACAGGACAUACAAUGGGUAUUGUGAGCCGCCUAGACCACCUGGGGCCGUCGGCAGGGGAUGGGCCUUUUACCCUGAACGAUCGUCUUCCUGGAAUAAAGGGAACGUGAUUGGGAGCUGGUGAUUGGGC